rnacentral:rRNA from 1 species
GACGAACGCUGGCGGCGUGCUUAACACAUGCAAGUCGAGCGGUAAGGCCCUUCGGGGUACACGAGCGGCGAACGGGUGAGUAACACGUGGGUGACCUGCCCUCCACUUCGGGAUAAGCCUGGGAAACUGGGUCUAAUACCGGAUAGGACCGAGAGAUGCAUGUUUCUUGGUGGAAAGUUUUUUCGGUGGGGGAUGGGCCCGCGGUCUAUCAGCUUGUUGGUGGGUGGAUGGCCUACCAAGGCGACGACGGAUAGCCGGCCUGAGAGGGUGAUCGGCCACACUGGGACUGAGACACGGCCCAGACUCCUACGGGAGGCAG